rnacentral:rRNA from 1 species
UCGAGAAUAUUUCGCAAUGGGCGAAAGCCUGACGAAGCGACGCCGUGUGGAUGAAGAAGGCCUUCGGGUUGUAAAAUCCUGUCACUUGGGAGCAAAUGGUGUGUGUGAAUAAUGCAUAUUAGUGAGAGUACCAAGGGAGGAAGCACUGGCUAACUCCGUGCCAGCAGCUGCGGUAAUACGGAGGGUGCAAGCGUUAGUCGGAAUAACUGGGCGUAAAGGGUGCGUAGGCGGGCGCAUAAGUUAUGUGUGAAAUUACAAGGCUCAACCUUGUAGCAGCACGUAAGACUGUGUGUCUAGAGGAAUGGUGGGGAAAACGGAAUUCCACGUGUAGCGGUGAAAUGCGUAGAUAUGUGGAAGAACACCUGUGGCGAAAGCGGUUUUCUAACCUAAUCCAGACGCUGAGGCACGAAAGCAAGGGGAUCAAACAGG